UUGAAAGGGAAACGAUUGAAGUCAGUCGUACCUAUGGGUAAUCAGCCUUUUGGGUGUGAUUUUGUGGAGCGUGAUGAGUUAAACGCCUUCAUGCCUGCAUAUUCGUGCACUUUGGGUGUACUUGCCCGUGUGUAAGUUAACAUCAAUUUUGGUGGUCAUAAAAUGGCUGGAGGAAUGUAGCUUCGAUCUUGUAUUGAAGUGUUAUAGCCUUCGGUAGAUGUGACGAUCGGGAUUGAGGAUUGCAACGGAUACCCUUCGGGGCUACCUGUCUGAUCUCUGAUUGUUGCUCUGGUGCCGAAAGCUUGCUUACGGUUAUUAAAGUCGAUGGUCAAUAGGUUAGAAUGGGUUAAAUUCGUUAAGGAUGUUGACGUA
rnacentral:rRNA from 1 species